GCUGGCAAUCUUUCUUACUGAAUCUCUACUGUGAGUCAUGUUACCUGAGAUUAAUUCUAUGUUUACCUGACAGCCUGGACAAAUGUGCUGUGUGAAGGAUGUAAAUCAAAUCAGAUCUUAACUGCUUACAUUUAAGGAGCCUGGUCAUAUUUAAUUAACAGUUCUCCACAGUCACUGUCCACAUGGGUCAGUGGGACCAAGCAGCACUCUGCUAAUGUGGGACUCUGACCAGCAACAUCCAGCAAGACCCAGGCAGCGUUUUCUAUCUCCCAGCUGGAGUUUUUUUGUUUGUCUGUGACUGGAGAGUCAGAUUUUUGUUGAGGCUGGAGGAACAGCCUCACACUUGCAGAGGUUAAUACACUCUACUGAUCCCUGAUGGGAGAAUCAUCACCUCUGCCAACAAAGAAGCCUGGUGGAUAUUUGUUUGCAGUCUGAUGAUGGGACAUCAUGCUCUGCAUCUUCAAAGUUUGUCUCUUGAUUAUUAUUGAUACACAGUAAUGUGAAGCAUGCUUAUAUCUAGUAUAACUGGACCAACCUGGUGCUCUUCAUUUAUGGAGGCUGUUGAGUCUGAAUGUUGGAUGUUGUGUAUCUCCUGUUCUCUGGGCUUUGUUGUCCUCAGUCUUUUUGCAGGAUCAGAAAACAAAACCAGGAGGCCUGUAAAUGUUUCUUCUCCAAUUGGAUGAUGAUAAGACUGUGACACGGGAUGCCACCUUUGGUCUUGUGAUGAAGCAAAGCUCAGGAAGCAGUGUGAUUAAAUGGUACCCACAUGUGUGCUGCUGAGAAGGAUGUACAGGGGCACCUGCAGCCAAAUCCAAGCCUCCUCAGCAACUUCAAGUCUGUCAGCGUGCUGAGGUCACAGAAACAAGAAAAGCAGCUUCAGACUUCAGAGUGUUGUUUACAGUUUUCUGUCAUCAUGAUCUCCCCUGAAGUUUAUCACUAUUAUACAAGCAUU